rnacentral:rRNA from 1 species
GAGUUUGAUCGUGGCUCAGAUUGAACGCUGGCGGCAUGCCUUACACAUGCAAGUCGAACGGCAGCAUGAUCUAGCUUGCUAGAUUGAUGGCGAGUGGCGAACGGGUGAGUAAUACAUCGGAACGUGCCCUGUAGUGGGGGAUAACUAGUCGAAAGAUUAGCUAAUACCGCAUACGACCUGAGGGUGAAAGUGGGGGACCGCAAGGCCUCAUGCUAUAGGAGCGGCCGAUGUCUGAUUAGCUAGUUGGUGGGGUAAAGGCCCACCAAGGCGACGAUCAGUAGCUGGUCUGAGAGGACGAUCAGCCACACUGGGACUGAGACACGGCCCAGACUCCUACGGGAGGCAGCAGUGGGGAAUUUUGGACAAUGGGCGAAAGCCUGAUCCAGCAAUGCCGCGUGUGUGAAGAAGGCCUCGGUUGUAAGUAC